rnacentral:rRNA from 1 species
UACGAGUACCCCAAGCGUUAUCCGGAAUCAUUGGGCGUAAAGGGUGUGUAGGUGGUUCGGUUAGUCUUCUGUUAAAACUUCGGGCUUAACCCGAAGCUUGCAGGGGAAACGGCCGGACUCGAGAGUGCGAGAGGUGAAUGGAACUCAUGGAGUAGGGGUGAAAUCCGUUGAUAUCAUGGGGAACACCAAAAGCGAAGGCAAUUCACUGGCGCAUUUCUGACACUGAGACACGAAAGCGUGGGUCGCGAACGGG